rnacentral:lncRNA from 1 species
GUAAGCUUUUGGUUUUACUAAUUUAUUGCCAGCGGGGCUCGCCGGUGUAACUGCUUACUGACUGUACACUGUAACGUUACUGCAUGAUUGUAGCGGGUUUACAAACACCUUAGUUCUAUUAGCUAUGCUGACUAUGACGUUACUUUAGCUAAUAUGGUGACAAAGAUGUAGGUUGUGUGCAGCGGUUUGGCUUGGAAAGAUUUUUUUUGCCUGGUCACAUACAGCUGAUGUGUUGUGCAUUGAAGUCCACAAGCGAAGGGAAGAGGCUAGGUUGAAGCAACCUCAGGAUGGGUACAGGGAACAUUUGUGUCACGGCUGCUCCGGCAUUACGCACUCCUGCCACCAUCAUUUACGCACAUCUGCCUUCCCUCGUCACGCGCAUCAGCGAUAUUGGACUCACCUGGACUCACUCAAUCUCCUGUUUAUUACCUCCCCUAUAUUUGUCAGUUCCCCAGCUCUGUUCCCCACUGCUGCAUUGUUUGUCGUCUGUCUUUGUGUUUCCCAGUUCUGACGCUGUUCCUGUCCUGUUGCAUGUCCAUUCCUAAUUAAAUGUCAACUCCCUGUACCUGCUUCUAUUCUCCAGCGUCAUUCCUUACAGAAUGCAGCAGCCAACACACGAAGCAUCGGGGAGUACUGGCGUUCCAGUUGGUGGUGACCUUGGUCCUGGGUCGCUGCCGAUGGAACCGGGGGUGCCUAGCCAGCUCGAGAGGUUUCCUUUCCCCGGUUGGCUCGGAAGGCGCCCAUCCCAAGUCGGGCCUCAGCCGGAUCGUCAGGUCUUGUUUGCCCAGCCGGCCCAGAAGUUUUGUUGUUUUGUUGGUGACGUCGGGCUUGGAUUCCGCCACCGAUGGAACCGAGGGUGCCCAAGCCAGCUCGUCGGGCUUCCACGUCCUAGCUGGCUCGAGGUUUCCUUGCCUCGGUUGGCUCGUCAGGUUCCCAUCCCACGUCAUGCUCCACCGGAUCUUCGUGCUUCCACGCGCAGCGAGAUCGACAGACGUUCAUGCCUUAGCCAGAUCGUCAGGCUCCUACGUCCCUGCCAGUUUGUGGGGAGUUUACCCCAGCCGGCUUGCCCAGCGCCCAUGUCUCGGCCGGCUCGCCCAGGCGGGACGCCGGGGGGGGGGUGUUACUGUCACGCCUGCUCCAGCUCUUUCACCCUGGCGCUCGAGGGCGCCUUGCUGCCCUGCAUUACGCAUUGCUGCCACCAUCAUUUACGCACACCUGCCUUCCCUCGUCACGCGCAUCAGCGAUAUUAGACUCACUCAAUCUCCUGUUUAUUACCUCCCCUAUAUUUGUCAGUUCCCCAGCUCUGUUCCCCACUGCUGCAUUGUUUGUCGUCUGUCUUUGUGUUUCCCAGUUCUGACGCUGUUCCUGUCCUGUUGCAUGUCCAUUCCUAAUUAAAUGUCAACUCCCCGUACCUGCUUCUAUUCUCCAGCGUCAUUCCUUACAAUUUGAGUAUCAUGUAGAAGCCUAAACCUAUCGAUGUUACAUUGGACUGGGUGAAUGGAAUAUGAAUGACAGUCAUCCAAUAUGCUGUAAUAGAAAUAAGACACAGGCAUCAGGAAUUGUCUACCACCCAAAGGACAUCCAGCCAACUUGAC